rnacentral:rRNA from 1 species
AUACGGAGGAUCCGAGCGUUAUCCGGAUUUAUUGGGUUUAAAGGGUGCGUAGGUGGAUUGGUCAGUCAGUGGUGAAAGUUUGCAGCUUGACUGUAAAAUUGCCGUUGAAACUGCCGGUCUUGAGUGCAAAUGAGGUAAGCGGAAUGUGUUGUGUAGCGGUGAAAUGCUUAGAUAUGACACAGAACACCGAUUGCGAAGGCAGCUUACUGGGAUGCAACUGACACUGAGGCACGAAGGCGUGGGGAUCAAACAGGAUUAGAUACCCUGGUAGUCCACGCAGUAAACGAUGAAUACUAGUUGUCUGCGAUAUAUUGUAGGUGACACAGCGAAAGCGUUAAGUAUUCCACCUGGGGAGUACGUUCGCAAGAAUGAAACUCAAAGGAAUUGACGGGG